rnacentral:rRNA from 1 species
ACCGUGCUAAGGUAGCAUAAAAAAGGGGCUUUUAAUUGGAGUCUAGUAUGAACGGUCGGAUGGAAUAUGAUUUGUCUUCGAGUGUAAAUAUUGAAUUUUACUUUUGAGUGAAAAGGCUUAAAUUGUGUAGGGGGACGAUAAGACCCUGUGAAGCUUUAUUUUUGCUUUGAUUUUAGGGCUCAAUAAUUGUGUAGUUGGGUUUAAGUUUAGCAGAUAUUUGGUUGGGGCGACUGGAAUAUAUUUGUAACUGUUUUUGUUAGUAAAAUAAGUGAUUUUUAGGGUAUUGAUCCUGUGUUGUGGAUUAUAAGAUUUAAGUUACUCCAGGGAUAACAGCGUAAUUUUUCUUGAGAGUUCUUAUCGACAAAAAUAUUU